GGGGUGAAGGGAAAUGCCACAGACAUCCAUGGUCUUGGAUGCUCAACAGAAGUGCUUGCCUUGGUGAUCCAAAAAAGGCAGGAUCCGGCCGGGGGCAAGGUGAUUAUUCUGUCUGAUGAGGAGAAUAAGAGCCAGUUUGUGGUAUUGACAGAAGAAUGAAAGUAAAGUCUUGAAAGAUGGGAAGAUCAGGAGCAGUCUGGAGUCAUGGUAUAUGAAUGAACUAGUGAGAGUGGGCACAAAGUCUGAAGAUCUUUGUAGUGCAGCUAAUGUCUAAGGGAGAAUAUACCUACCCUAGAAGAGACAUUAAACAACCAGGAAAAGAGGUGCAACAGUGGCUGGAUGAUUAUAAGAUCGACUGUUCCUAUUAAAAACUACACCAUCCAAAAGAGGCUGCCAUUGAAGAGCAAUAAAGUAGUUCAUAGAAGGCAUAGUUCAACCAAUCUACAAAGGCCAAAAAUAUUUUCACAGGCCCCCAAAAGAUGAACUCCAAUCUGCUGCCCCUAAACGCAUUCUCCACUGUCUGGAAGAUGUGCAAAGGCAACGGCACAGCGUUCUCCAUCUCAAAUCCUUCAAAGUGCUGUCAGAAUAAAAGAAUCCCCACCAAAAGCCCCAGGGAAAUCUAUCUGUCUGUAUGGUAUGGUAAUGACUGAGGUUAUUCCAGAUAGGAUUCUGGGAGAAACUCAGCUAUUGAAAUCUAAUGAAUGGAACUGAGAAUUUCUUGUUAUAAUACUGUUUGUUUGAUUGAAUAUAUCCUUGCAUAUAGGAAGACAUAAAAAUAAAUAAUAAAAGCAAGAUAUUAUUUGAA
rnacentral:lncRNA from 1 species